rnacentral:rRNA from 1 species
CCAAUAGCGUAUAUUAAAGUUGUUGCAGUUAAAAAGCUCGUAGUUGAAUUUUGGAUUCUGCCAAUUGGUCCAUCUUUUAGAUGAGUACUGGUUGUGUGGGGUCUAUCCGCCUGGUGAUACGUAAUGUCCUUUAUUGGAUGUUGCGGGUAGUCAGGACCUUUACCUUGAAAAAAUUAGAGUGUUUAAAGCAGGCUUAUGCCGGAAUACAUUAGCAUGGAAUAAUAGAAUAGGACGAAGUUGUUUUAUUUUGUUGGUUCCUAGGACAACCGUAAUGAUUAAUAGGGAUAGUUGGGGGCAUUAGUAUUCAAUUGUCAGAGGUGAAAUUCUUGGAUUUAUUGAAGACUAACUACUGCGAAAGCAUUUGCCAAGGAUGUUUUCAUUAAUCAAGAACGAAAGUUAGGGGAUCGAAGACGAUCAGAUACCGUCGUAGUCUUAACCAUAAACUAUGCCGACUAGGGAUCGGGCGAUGUUGUUUCCAUGACUCGCUCGGCACCUUAUG